rnacentral:lncRNA from 1 species
CUCACUGUGAGGGAAGGGCCUGGCAGCGCUACCAGGGUGGGCUCCUUGUGAGCUGCUCCUGCCCGAGCUGAAGGGAGCUUGCAGGUGUUAUAAACGGCUGAGUCAUUCCAGGCCUGUCCUGGGGAGAUGGCACAGGGGGAAUCUUGUGCAAGGCCAGGGCAGCGGUGGCAUGUGAUGGGACAGUAAAAGUAAAAGGGAUAGGAUUAUUCCUCUUCCGCUGCUGUCCUCUUCCCUAAUAAUCACAAGGGAUCGGUGUCUUUCAUGGGAGCAGAGGAAAGUGAAACUUCUGUGACUUCAAGGAGUGGACACAGGUAUUAUGCAUGCAGUGUUUAAAGGAAACUCAACAGCUGGGUGGUUUCUUUAAAGUAAACUGCACAGAGCCAGUCAUGAGGAGGCCACUGAAGGAGUGCAGGCAGCUUACAGGGCAACAGAGGGUUGUAGAAGGUAGGGAUAAACUUCCUCUGUGCAAUUCACACCUGCGUACAACCACACACAUGGAGUGUGCUGGGACUUGGCACGUGAAGGUGUCCUGGUGUCUGUUGUUCGUGCCUGAGGUUUGAGUGCUGCCCUCAUCAACCCCACGUGUCUUCCAGGGCACUGCUCCCUCACCACUGCCUGGCGGGGAUUCUGUGCAGAUUAUUAAGCCCUUGGGGAGCACUGGCUGAAAACAGAAAUAAUAAAUAGAGAUGAUUUUACA